UAACAAACACUUCAGUCAUGGAGAGACACGUGUUCCACAGACAUCCCAGGCCAGUCAUAAAGUCUUGUUUGAUCCUAAACUUUCACACUGCUGCUUGCUUUUUAUGUACUCUUUACCAUCUGUGAGUAAACACUUGGGGGGGGGGGGGAUGAUUAUCAGCAUUUUAAAAUGCAUUUUGAUACUUAAGCUUCAUGCCAUACCAUUUUUGAAAGAAAAGUUCUGGCCCCAUCGUCACCAAAUUUUUCAAAUCACUCAACUCAAUCCUCAACUUAAAUCCUUUAAGAGAAAAUUGCAUACAUUUGAGGUAAAAACACCGACUUGAGGCUGAGUAUUGACUUAAGGAAAGUUGGUGGCGUUGGGACCGGUUCUUACAUUUAGGGACACGCAACUUUCCUCAGUUUUAGAUUAUUUUCCCUGAUAGAUUAUUACUUCUUUAUUUGUAUUUAAACCUCUUAAUGCCCAAAAUCUCAGGGUGCAUUACCAGGCUGUUUUCUUAGUUAAAAUAUUUUGAAUUUUUUUUUUAAUUGCAUACAAUACGCAACUGAAUGCUAAUUAUUAAAGUCAUUGUAUAUAUAUUUUUGGGGGGGGAAUUUAUAUACCCUGGUAUACAAAUGGAAAAAUAUCACAUAACAUGAAAAUAUAAUUUGGAAUUACACAGUGGAAAUCUUCACAUUGCAGAUUUGGUGGGGGGAAGGGGGGUGGAGAAAAUAAUGGAAAAUAGGUCGCAUAUGACCUUUAAAAAAAACCUCAAAACAUAAUAAUUUUUUUUACCCAUAAUUUUCAGUGAAAAGUAAAUUUGAAUGCUGGUAAUAAAGCAUGCAGCAGUAUGAAAGAGAACAAACAAAGCUCUAAUUUGGUCCUGGUUUCAAGCAGAAUAUUGCAUACAAUACUGAAAUAGGAAGAACAAAAUAAACUUUAUCUUUUAAUUAAAAUGCAAUUUUAAUUAGUUAUUUUUUCAUUUCAGAUCAAAACAUGCAAGAACAAAAGUGAACUGCUCACACACUUUUCAAUAUAAGAAAAAGUAAAACUAUUAUGCAAACAUUUUACUACAAGUUUGUCCAGUAAAAAAAAACAAAUGACUCUAGAUAACUCUUGAUUCAGAAAUUUUCAAGGGGCCUGGAAAGGAUAUACUCCUCUUCCUUACACCCCCCCCCCCAAAAAAAAAAGAGAAAUAACUUGUUACAUUGUAUAAUGAAAUAAAUCAAUAACUUUUAUCAUCUACAGAUGUACUGAAGAAUACAUUAAUGAAGGGCAAAUUCUGACAGUUGGUGAGGAGGAAAGGAGUAGACCCUUGGAACAAGCACCUAACAUAUAUGUAAUAUGUAUGAUGGACCUAGCAAGUACAUGUAUAAUACUGCAGAUGGUGACAUGCUAUGGGUCAGUACCUU